UAUCUCAGUUGCUGCAUAUGGAAAAGGUAGAAAGGUUGAAAUGCAGGACAUAUUCACCGCCACGCUUCCUUGGUCUUUCUGAGACACAUGAUGAACUGCUGAUCAUGUACACAAAGUCAAUAGUGUCUAUUGAUGGCUUUAGUUUAGUUCAGUCACUCCGAGCUUGCUGUAACCAAGUUGCAAGAGCAACGGCGAGCGGCACGG
rnacentral:sRNA from 1 species